AGAGUUUGAUCCUGGCUCAGGAUGAACGCUGGCGGCGUGCUUAACACAUGCAAGUCGAACGGGAUCCCUGGCGCUUGCGCCGGGGUGAGAGUGGCGAACGGGUGAGUAAUGCGUGACCAACCUGCCCCAUGCACCGGAAUAGCUCCUGGAAACGGGUGGUAAUGCCGGAUGCUCCAGAUGACCGCAUGGGAUUCUGGGAAAGCUUUUGCGGCAUGGGAUGGGGUCGCGUCCUAUCAGCUUGUUGGUGGGGUGAUGGCCCACCAAGGCUUCGACGGGUAGCCGGCCUGAGAGGGCGACCGGCCACAUUGGGACUGAGAUACGGCCCAGACUCCUACGGGAGGCAGCAGUGGGGAAUAUUGCGCAAUGGGCGAAAGCCUGACGCAGCGACGCCGCGUGCGGGAUGGAGGCCUUCGGGUUGUAAACCGCUUUUAUCGGGGAGCAAGCGAGAGUGAGUGUACCCGUUGAAUAAGCACCGGCUAACUACGUGCCAGCAGCCGCGGU
rnacentral:rRNA from 1 species